rfam:Anolis carolinensis chromosome 5, whole genome shotgun sequence.
AGAUGUGAGGGCGAUCUGGCUGCAGCAUCUGUCACUCCAUUGAUCACCAGGGUUGAUUCGGCUGUUCUGGCCGACUAGGCAGGUGUCCCCUUCCUCCCUCACUGCUCCAUGUGCGUCUCUCCUGAAGCCGCGUGCGCGGUGGAAGAGGACGACGUCCCAGGUAUAGAAGGAGUGUACCAAGGUCUCCUGUAGAUUCACCUUUUAUGCCAUUAUUUUGGUUAUUUUUAAGUAAAGAAUUACUAUGUAUUCAUAAGUACAUGUUAUUUAUCGGUGGAUAGAACACUCAGAGUUCUAUUCAAC